GACGAACGCUGGCGGCGUGCUUAACACAUGCAAGUCGAACGGAAAGGCCCUGCUUUUGUGGGGUGCUCGAGUGGCGAACGGGUGAGUAACACGUGAGUAACCUGCCCUUGACUUUGGGAUAACUUCAGGAAACUGGGGCUAAUACCGGAUAGGAGCUCCUGCCGCAUGGUGGGGGUUGGAAAGUUUCGGCGGUUGGGGAUGGACUCGCGGCUUAUCAGCUUGUUGGUGGGGUAGUGGCUUACCAAGGCUUUGACGGGUAGCCGGCCUGAGAGGGUGACCGGCCACAUUGGGACUGAGAUACGGCCCAGACUCCUACGGGAGGCAGCAGUGGGGAAUAUUGCACAAUGGGCGGAAGCCUGAUGCAGCAACGCCGCGUGCGGGAUGACAGCCUUCGGGUUGUAAACCGCUUUCGCCUGUGACGAAGCGUGAGUGACGGUAAUGGGUAAAGAAGCACCGGCUAACUACGUG
rnacentral:rRNA from 1 species